rnacentral:rRNA from 1 species
UACGUAGGUGGCAAGCGUUGUCCGGAUUUACUGGGCGUAAAGAGCGCGCAGGCGGUCGUUCAAGUCGCGUGUGAAAGCCCCCGGCUCAACUGGGGAGGGUCACGCGAUACUGAUCGACUCGAAGGCAGGAGAGGGAAGUGGAAUUCCCGGUGUAGUGGUGAAAUGCGUAGAUAUCUGGAGGAACACCGGUGGCGAAGGCGGCGUUCUGGACUGCAACUGACACUGAGAAACGAAAGCCAGGGUAGCAAACGGG